UUAUGAUCAACUACCACUCAAACGUCAACACAUACAGUAUGCAUACUUAUUGGAAUAUGUGAGCACUUAACAUCAUAGACAUGAAUGCACUCAUACACAACGCACGCACGGACACACACAGGCUCACAUGUGCACACACACACACACACACACAUACACACACACACACACACACACACACACACACACACACACACACACACACACACACACACACACACACACACACACACACACACACACACACACACACACACACACACACACACACACACACACUUUUACAAAGUCAAAGUUUUUCCUUUAAGUACCUAACUUCUAAACUUCAAUCCACUUGUCAUCUAACCAUUAUCCCUGAACUGUCAUGUUUAUUUUACCUUUAUUUAACUAGGCAAGUCAGUUAAGAACAAAUUCUUAUUUUCAAUGAUGGCCUAGGAACAGUGGGUUAAACUGCCUGUUCAGGGGCAGAACAACAGAUUUGUACCUUGUCAGCUCAGGGAUUUGAACUUGCAACCUUUCGGUUACUAGUCCAAAACUCUAAACACUAGGCUAAUGUAACCAUUAUCCCUGAACUGUCAUUAAGUGGCCUCUUAUUCCAAAGUGGAACUUUUAAGUGUUCCUGGAUUUUAUCCUGCUUUUACCAACUUUUUUUCUGCCUGGAUUAAAAUGACAGGCUCAGGGUCUCCAUCCUGACUCCACUGCUCUCUCUCUCCCCUCCUGGGCACUUUUCUCCACUAAGGUGGCUCAGAAGUGACACUUUUUACAGUGAGUUGGGAUGGGAUAAGUCAUGACUUCCUGAGAAAGAGAGAAAAUAGUUUUGAGUGAUUCCUCUAAUAUUCAGCCCACGCCUAGAACACUCCCCUACUGUAGAACUCACCUCGUGGAGACAGUGUGAUGAGGAUGAUGUCUAGUACAUUCAUAUUGUCUGUAGAUGGAGACCAGACUUCUCCUCUGCUACUGUACUAUUUCCAGAGAUUAUGGACCUUCACAAAAUAUCUCAGACUAGGAGUGCUGAUCUAGGAUCAGAUCCCC
ensembl:lncRNA